GAAGACUACAACGUUGAUAGGUCGGGUGUGGAAGUGCAGUAAUGCAUGGAGCUAACCGAUACUAAUAAGCCGUGCGGCUUAUCCAA
rnacentral:rRNA from 1 species